UGCACUGAUUUUAACAAUGAAGCGAGUGGCGAACUGGUGAGUAACACGUGGGAAAUCUGCCCAGAAGCAGGGGAUAACACUUGGAAACAGGUGCUAAUACCGUGUUACAACAAAAUCCGCAUGGAUUUUGUUUGAAAGGUGGCUUCGGCUAUCACUUCUGGAUGAUCCCGCGGCGUAUUAGUUAGUUGGUGAGGUAAAGGCCCACCAAGACGAUGAUACGUAGCCGACCUGAGAGGGUAAUCGACCACAUUGGGACUGAGACACGGCCCAAACUCCUACGGGAGGCAGCAGUAGGGAAUCUUCCACAAUGUUCCAAAGUCUGAUGGAGCAAUGCCGCGUGAGUGAAGAAGGGUUUCGGCUCGUAAAACUCUGUUGUUAAAGAAGAACACCUUUGAGAGUAACUGUUCAAGGGUUGACGGUAUUUAACCAGAAAGCCACGGGCUAACUACGUGCCACCAGCCGCGGUAAUACGUAGGUGGCAAGCGUUGUCCGGAUUUAUUGGGAUUAAAGCGAGCGCAGGCGGGUUUUUUAAGUCUGAUGUGAAAGCCUUCG
rnacentral:rRNA from 1 species